rnacentral:rRNA from 1 species
GACGAACGCUGGCGGCGUGCUUAACACAUGCAAGUCGAACGGAAAGGCCCUGCUUUUGUGGGGGGCUCGAGUGGCGAACGGGUGAGUAACACGUGAGUAACCUGCCCUUGACUUUGGGAUAACUUCAGGAAACUGGGGCUAAUACCGGAUAGGAGCUCCUGCUGCAUGGUGGGGGUUGGAAAGUUUCGGCGGUUGGGGAUGGACUCGCGGCUUAUCAGCUUGUUGGUGGGGUAGUGGCUUACCAAGGCUUUGACGGGUAGCCGGCCUGAGAGGGUGACCGGCCACAUUGGGACUGAGAUACGGACCAGACUCCUACGGGAGGCAGCAGUGGGGAAUAUUGCACAAUGGGCGGAAGCCUGAUGCAGCAACGCCGCGUGCGGGAUGACGGCCUUCGGGUUGUAAACCGCUUUCGCCUGUGACGAAGCGUGAGUGACGGUAAUGGGUAAAGAAGCACCGGCUAACUACGUG